CCUAUCACUAUACCUUGGUCUCUUCGCUUAAGCCAUGGCCGCAACAAAGCCUUUAUAUGAUUUUUAUUUUGUUCACUCCCACUUUAUGCUUACAAAUAUCAUAUAAAGUUUGGAUCUAAAAAUUUCUGCUAAUAAGUUUCAGAUCUGAUAUCAUAUAAAGGCUCCAAGCUAGAGAUUUAAUUGAACAAGUAUCAGGAAUAUCGUCCUAAAAAGGUUAAUGUUUUUGUAUCUAGCUCUUUCUUUUAAAAAAUUAUUCAUUGAUCUUUCUUUAAAAUUAUCUCUCUUUAUUAAAUUAUGGAUUUAAGAACACUAUUAAAGAAGAAUGAUUCAUAUUUAUAUGUGUCGGAUCAAAAUUUUACACUUUAACAAUUAAAUCAUAUAACAAAAUAAAC